GAUGAACGCUGGCGGCGUGCCUAAUACAUGCAAGUCGAGCGAACAGAUGAGGAGCUUGCUCCUCUGACGUUAGCGGCGGACGGGUGAGUAACACGUGGAUAACCUACCUAUAAGACUGGGAUAACUUCGGGAAACCGGAGCUAAUACCGGAUAAUAUAUUGAACCGCAUGGUUCAAUAGUGAAAGACGGUUUUGCUGUCACUUAUAGAUGGAUCCGCGCCGCAUUAGCUAGUUGGUAAGGUAACGGCUUACCAAGGCAACGAUGCGUAGCCGACCUGAGAGGGUGAUCGGCAACACUGGAACUUAGACACGGUCCAGACUCCUACGGGAGGCAGCAGUAGGGAAUCUUCCGCAAAGGGCGAAAGCCUGACGGAGCAACGCCGCGUGAGUGAUGAAGGUCUUCGGAUCGUAAAACUCUGUUAUUAGGGAAGAACAAAUGUGUAAGUAACUAUGCACGUCUUGACGGUACCUAAUCAGAAAGCCACGGCUAACUACGUG
rnacentral:rRNA from 1 species